GUGGGGAAUAUUGGACAAUGGGGGGAACCCUGAUCCAGCCAUGCCGCGUGUGUGAAGAAGGCCUUUUGGUUGUAAAGCACUUUAAGCGAGGAGGAGGCUACCGAGAUUAAUACUCUUGGAUAGUGGACGUUACUCGCAGAAUAAGCACCGGCUAACUCUGUGCCAGCAGCCGCGGUAAUACAGAGGGUGCAAGCGUUAAUCGGAUUUACUGGGCGUAAAGCGCGCGUAGGUGGCCAAUUAAGUCAAAUGUGAAAUCCCCGAGCUUAACUUGGGAAUUGCAUUCGAUACUGGUUUGCUAGAGUAUGGGAGAGGAUGGUAGAAUUCCAGGUGUAGCGGUGAAAUGCGUAGAGAUCUGGAGGAAUACCGAUGGCGAAGGCAGCCAUCUGGCCUAAUACUGACACUGAGGUGCGAAAGCAUGGGGAGCAAACAGGAUUAGAUACCCGAGUAGUCC
rnacentral:rRNA from 1 species